rnacentral:rRNA from 1 species
GACGAACGCUGGCGGCGUGCUUAACACAUGCAAGUCGAACGGAAAGGCCCUGCUUUUGUGGGGUGCUCGAGUGGCGAACGGGUGAGUAACACGUGAGUAACCUGCCCUUGACUUUGGGAUAACUUCAGGAAACUGGGGCUAAUACCGGAUAGGAGCUCCUGCUGCAUGGUGGGGGUUGGAAAGUUUCGGCGGUUGGGGAUGGACUCGCGGCUUAUCAGCUUGUUUGUGGAGUAGUGGCUUACCAAGGCUUUGACGGGUAGCCGGCCUGGGAGGGUGACCGGCCACAUGGGGACUGAGAUACGGCCCAGACUCCUACGGGAGGCAGCAGGGGGGAAUAUUGCACAAUGGGCGGAAGCCUGAUGCAGCAACGCCGCGUGCGGGAUGACGGCCUUCGGGUUGUAAACCGCUUUCGCCUGUGACGAAGCGUGAGUGACGGUAAUGGGUAAAGAAGCACCGGCUAACUACGUG